rnacentral:lncRNA from 1 species
AAAAGAAAUGCGCGUUCCGUUAGAAAAGGAGGCCAGGGGGGAGGGGAGGAGGGGCAAGACGCAAGCACAUAAAACGCAGCUCGUCGCAACGGCAUCGAAUCACCCCGAACGUAAUAAUAUUCAUUCACUCACCGUGCACUCGAAGCCGCUCUUCCUUCUCUACGUCGCGUCGUCGUCGUCGUCGUCGUCCUCUCUCGGCAACUCCGACGUCGGUUUCUCGACGACACUUUCUCCAGCACUCCAGCAUUCGCGCGCGCGACGAACGGAAAGACGGCUGUUCGCAAAGACACUCACUCGCGUACCUUCUGCACUUUGCGCAGCUACACUUAAGGCCAGUGCAGGUACAUCUUCGUAAUCGUAAUCGUAAUUCGUAAGACUUCGACCAAUCACAUUGCUCCAAUCAGCCGACCGAAUUAACCAAUCGUAUCGCUCGAUCGCUUACGGUGAUGGUUGUACGAUCGCCUUUACGACUCACGGAACACACACACCCGGGGUACGCACAUAAAACGAGACUCGAACGGCGAAGGGAUAACGCGAAGUCGCGAAGAUCGCGUCGCGGCCGACGAUAUUCGCCCGCGAACGGCGUGAACGACCAUUACCAAUCGACUCGCGACAGGCUGAAGCUCGCCAAUGACUGCAACUUCACGGGGGACGCCGGGCGCUCGCCUAUGCACAGUUGGUAAGCGUGAGUCGUGGUCGCGAGACGCGAGUCGCGAGUGAAAAAUCCGGGCGUUCGCGAGGCAAACGAAUCGUUCGCGGAGCACGCGGCGGAGUCGCGGAAUAAGUGGCGACGUUUACCCUACCCCUCUCUUACUCGAGUCCCACUCGAAACACCAAGGGGGACGACCGUAUGUAAACACGAACGCCGACGCGCGCGCGACGAGACCUUCACCUUCAACGUGCGCCCGCGCGCGCGACCCGAAAGUUUAGUCCAUAAAAUUAUACGUCGUACUACGUUUAUCUUCUCGCGAACUAACGCGGCGCGUCGACAAACGUCGGGGGCAAUAGUGCGUCGUGUGUGCGAGGCAACGUGCGUCCCGCGUUAUUCAACAUACCCGCUCGGAGUUUAUCGUUAAUGGCGCGAACAGUGGUACGGAAAUGGCGGGAGCAGUAGUACGGAGUAAUGACGCGGGGGGAACGGUGGCGCGGGGGAGAAGGAAGGAAGUAAAAGCAUCACUGUUCUAACUGCUCGCGUCUUUCUCCUCUCUCUCUCUCCCUCUCUCCCUCUCUCGUCCGAGAUAGUUUACGGAAUUAUUUCGUCUCUCGCUACAAACAAAUGUAAGAUCGCGACAUUUUUGCUUGCAUCGAGGAAGUAUUGCAUCGAUAAAUUGUGUUAUUGAGACGAUGCCCGGGAUAGACGGUUCCUUCCUCCCUCCCCUCUCCCCCUUUACCUCUCUCACUAUUUCUGUUAGACGCAAAGGCUGAAAUGGCGCGCUAAGUGACGAGCGAGAAAUUACUAAGGAAAGUUCGUGUGCCUGGAACUUAAUCAGUCGCGUCUUUUUCGAUCGAUGCGUGCGAGUGUCCGAGGGAAAAAUGGAGGGAGUAACGAAUGAAAAAAGUAACGGACCGACCGAGGGCUGCGAGGUGGCCGGGUGAUUAUCGCGUCGCAUUAUUUCAACUCGUAUCCGGGAGUGAAUGAACGUCCGAAACAAUGGAGCAGCCGGCAACAUGGGACUGACGGUACGUCGACCGGUGAGUGAAUUCAUUUGUUAUAUUCGUGCGGCUAAUUGUACAUUUAUUUGGCGUUGCUAUUCGUGCGAAUUAGAUAACGCACUGAGAAAAAAAAGUUAAAAUAUUAGCGAGCAAAUGUGUACUUGUGGACGUUUUCUUCAAUAUUUAUUAAUUAUAAAAAAAGAAAUUCGCUUGUGACGAAAAUUUUGAAGAAAUAUAUCUCAUUUCAGUGAAAUAAAACUCAUUUUAUUUUUAUUAAUUUAUUUGUUAGGAAUAAUAUUGUAUCUUUCGCCGCAUUUGAAUUAAGAUUGACUUCCCUGAAGUGAAUUUAUAUCUCACAAAUAAAUUUUGAAAUAUCUUUCUCAAAGUGCGACAGUAAUUAUUAUAUUAAGAAUAACGAGAUUGUCGAGAAAGACAUAAUGAGGAAGUUCAUCAGUGCUUAUAUAACUUAGUCGAGGUUUAUAAUUAUAAUUAAUAUAAAAUUGAAAAAAAAAAAGUUAAAAAAUCUACAUUUCUGAUUUGAAAUAAUUUUAUAACUAAUUUGAAAAUAAUUUUUUUGUAAUAGGAAAUUGAGAUGUGACGGGUCCAUGAAUUGUAUACAAUUCUUAAUGUGGCAAGUAUUAUUACUCACAUGAUGGGAAUUAGACGUAAAUAGUGUUGCUAUCUGGUACAUCAAAGGGUUAAUCAGCGGUGUAGCUACCUGCCAAUAAGUGACAUUGCGAGUGAAUAGCGUUAACUUCCGUUUCGCGUAUCGUACGGUAUCGCGCCACUUCGUAUCACCACACGGAGACGUCGAGGACAGGUUGCGCUCUUGCAAGACGGUAUCUAGAGGCGACCACAUUUGCGAACGUUACCGCGGCUGUAAAUCUCCUCGCCGCGCAUCGGAGAGCUCGCAAGUAGAUCAUUAUGCACGCUGCAGCCGUAAUUUUGUCUUUCCCUUCCGUUCUACCCCCGGAGCGCAUUUCGUGCUUCGGCGUGCUGGAGAAACUCGCGGCAUACAUCGGCGGUUCCCUGGAGUGCCACUAUAUACAUUCGACUGUGCUACCGAACUACCCAACGGAAUAUCGAGCCCGAAGUCGAACGUUAUUCCCCAGUCUGUUGAUUUAUCGCCAUUAUUAAUACUAGGAUAAUAUUACGCGAUACGGACCGUUAAAACCGGCGUUAAAAUCCGCUUCCAAUAUUGCCGCUUAAGGCAGAUACAGGUGCGCGUGAUGAUCGAUAGCCGUAAUCCCAUUGCGAAAUCCUUUAAAUCCCGACGUCGGUGUUAAAAACGCCAGUUGAGUUUUCGUACAUGCUAACGACCGGAUUGCUCGUAAUAAAACUAUUCCGUAUUCUCGCGUAUACGACGCAAUUCUCGGGUACUAUGCGAAUUGCCACGCAACGAGGAAUGAUUUUGUAACGCUCCAAAGAUUCUGGAACUUCAUUUGAUUGUUGGUCUUAUUCGUAUCCAAAAUGGAAAUACGUGAAUCAAGUUACGCUCUCGAAUGUCUUUUCGCUCGAGUAACUUCUGAAAUUGAAACGUUAUCAGAUGUUGAAAUCGUCAAAUUCACAAAUUAUCUUAUUCUGCUCCAUGAAUGCCAGAUGUAAAUGAAAUAAGAUAUUAAAUAUAUACAUUUGUUUAGCAAUUCGAUAUACAAUUUAAAUUUUAUUUUAGCAAUUUGAUGAAUGAUUGAUGUUCUCUUCAAAGACAGUAAAAAAAGAAAAUUUAUUACUUUGUGAAUCUACAUAUGAAUUGACAUAAUUAUGAUUUUACGUAUAAUUUUAUAUUACAUUUAAAUAUAUUAAGAAAUAAUAUUUGUUGUAAUGUACAUAAUUGAUUCACGCUUUCAGUGGUUUAGCCACGAGUCUCUCUCUCUCUCUCUCUCUCUCUCUCUCUCUCUCUCUCUCUCUCUCUCUCUCUCUCUCUCUCUCUCUCUCUUUCUCUCUCUUUCUUUCUGAGAAAGAAAUUAUUUUAAGAAAAGUGUAACAUAUGUGAGAAAAUUAAGAAGUAAUAUAAAAUCUGAUUUAUCAAUUCAUUGUUUAAAGAAAAUGCAUCUUGUGAUUAAAAAUUUAACAACAAGAUAUUGUUUGAUUUCACGAAAUCUAUUCGAUUUCACUUGGAAAAUUUUUCAAGUUGUUAUGGGGCAGAUAAGAUGAAAGUGAGGAUUUUUUGUUUUUUUCCACAUAGAAUGCGAGAAAAAUCAUUAUAAUGUAGCUUCCAAGUCUCAUAAGAUCCUUCUGCGUAAUUCCUACGGAAGCAAGUAGGAUUUUUUUGUUGAAGACGGUUUACGAGCAUCGACGAGAAAGAAACUCGGGGAAAAACUUCUCGUUAUGUUCUCUUGGGUUCGCUCCUGUCCGUUGCGUAGAGAGAGCAUCAAUAUCGACGACGGCGACAAGUCGACAAAGCGCACCGAAUGCUUCGAUUUCGUUCCCACACAUAAAACAUUUUAAACGUAUACAUGCGAAUCGUAUAUAUAUAUAUACAUAUAUAUCAAAAUACACGUAUAUCCAUUCACCUUUCGACCUCUAUCUGUCGAAGCAUAGAAAUAUAUCUACCGCGACUUUUCUUCCUUUCGACUGAAGGAAGAUAAAAUCAGCGAUGUGAAACGCAAAUGUCGCGAAAUCGUCCGAGGGAUUUGAGGGAAUGUCAAUGUUUUAAUGUAAGAACGGAGAACAAAGCUAUUAAUGUUAUUCAAUUAUUGAGCUGAUCGGUGUCAAUAAAUUUAAUUGAUAAUUUGAGGAGUAAAAGCAUCGAUUAACUUGUUCAGUUUAAUUUAUUUUCUAUCUGUUUCCAUAUAAUCCGUCGUUUGCGGAUUUUCUGGAAUAAAGUAUGGGUUAGCACUGCAACACAGACUUUCAAGUGAGAAUCAUUACACAAAUGACUCGGAAGAAUGUAAUUUCCCUAAUAAAAUGUUAAUCUCUUAUUUAACUAAAGCCCAAGCUCCUACCGCUAAUGAAUAAAAAUACAAUCUUAAUAUGAUAUUAAGAAAUAAAAUCAAGCGGCAAUAAUAUUAACAUGGGAGAGACGACAGUUGUUCGCGUGCAGAUUGUAUCGGCUUAAUUUAGCGUUUAUUCGCGCAAGAAGACGAGAGUGUGAAUUUAUAUUAUGGGCGGCGCGAACCGCGUGCGUAUACGGCCAGGAACCCGGGAAGGAUGAUAAGCCACUGAUAUUGCCCAUCGAAGCGUGAUGCUUAGAUUGGACUCAUUCCUUCCCAUAUCCAUUCCAGGUAAUCACCGCGGGCAUCGAGACCACUCUUCUCCCCGCCGGCAAUUGCGAUAAUCUUCUGACGAAGGGAUAGCGAUACGACGAGCAGCAGGGGAUGCCUGGCGCGAAAAUCGUUGUACAGAUGGAUCUAUGAACGAGAGAUGGGAUAUACGUUCGCCGAUUGAUAUCAUUUUUAUGUGAUAUUUUGGUACCAUCGUUAGCAGCUUAAAAGAUGUGUGAGUGUGUGUGGCGAGUGUCACGAAAGGAACAAGAAGGAACUGAAAGAAAGAGGAGCGGUCCGGGGAGACAUCGGGCGACGGCAGAGCAACCGUGAGGUAUAUUUAUUAUUCAUUAUUUUAUUUACUACUUUUUUACGCGGAGUUAAUUGUUUAUAAUUAUUUUAUAAAACCAAUUAUUUUAUAAAAUUUUAAUAACUUUGGGCGUUGCUAUAAUUUAUAUGUAUUUGUUACAGAUCAACGUAGUUGUUUUGUACCUCUGCCGCUGCGCAUCAUGUCGGUGAGUAAUAAAUUACAUUUUAUUUUAAUUCGAAAUAAUGGAUUUCUCUGCGAAAACUAUAUCAGAUAUACAUAAGGUAUGCGUAAAUGUGUACGUAUCAAAUUAAAACCAUUAAACAUGUUAUAAUAUAUUAAAUUUAAGUUAAAUAUAUUAUUCUACGGAUCCAUGCCCUAAUAAAUGGACUGAAAGAGAUUGUUUCAAUAUUUAAACAUGUUUAACCAUCGAUCUAUUAUGCAUAAGAAUACAUAAAUACGCGUGUAUUUAUUAUGUACACAAAGUUCGUAGAAAAAUAUUUGCCAAUUAUUUUAAAUAUUAAUUUUGAGUGUUGGCCAUACAGCAUUGUAUAUGACUUGCAUACAAUAUUUUAAAACAUUCCAUAUUGAAGAAAAAAAUUAUGUUAUAAAAUUAUAAUAUAUGUAUGCACCACAUACAUAUAUAUGUUUACAUACAAUUUCUACUGUUAUAUUAAAAAUAAUUUUAACACAGUAUUUGGAAAAAUAAAAUAAAAGAUAUUUUAUUUGUGUUUAAUAUUUUUAUAAUUGCACAUUGUUAUGUAUGAAAUAGUUGGCAAUUUAUAGAUAUAUGAUGUGAUAAAUUUAUGAAGAUAAAUUUUUAAAUAAUAACGUUUUUGCAACUUAAUUUAAAAUUAU